rnacentral:lncRNA from 1 species
AUGAACACAGCCGUGGGAGUGAAGGAAGAAUAAAGGAAGGACCCUCCUCACAGAAAGGCCACUGAAAGCAGGAAAGAGAGGGGCAAGCUGAAAUGGAAUUGUUAGAGCAUAAGGGAGCCAGCAUGCCUGCCUCAAGGUGAGAGGAGACUGGAGAACUAGGAGGGUACGCAGUUGGUGGGGACCUGCCUGGAAGACUACGAUCAAGAGCUUUCUACAGGUUAUGAGGAGCUGCUGAGGAACAAGGCACUUCAACGCUCCAGAUUAAAGAGAUCUACAGCGGAACACGUUCACGGGUCCUUUCUGCUCCCAGCACCCAGUCUGUUUUUGCACAUGUCACAGGUCAUUCAUUGUGUGACCAUAAUGGCUCAGGGACACGGAGGAAGGGUAGAGACAUCGUCAAUCCCAGAAAUCUCAAAGACAGGACAGCAGGAGUUGGUCAUCUCCCUGUCUCUCAACCUGGCUCUUUGAGGCCGGCUGCCCCACGAUCAACCCUAGCAGGAAUUGAUUACACUGAGAGUUAUCCAGCUUCUCUCCUUGUUUGACCUUAUAAGGUAGACCCCACCCCCAGCUCCUGAAUAUGCAGAUGAAGUGUCUCCCAACACCCCCUGCCCUGGCCAAUGGUACAUAGCCACAAAAACCUUGCUUUAGAGACCCUGCCCAUUCCCAGGAGCCUACCCUACCGGCCAAUAAACGGAACUCGUUC